AUUGAACGCUGGCGGCAGGCUUAACACAUGCAAGUCGAGCGGGGAAGAGUAGCUUGCUACUUGACCUAGCGGCGGACGGGUGAGUAAUGCUUAGGAAUCUGCCUAUUAGUGGGGGACAACAUCUCGACAGGGAUGCUAAUACCGCAUACGUCCUACGGGAGAAAGCAGGGGACCUUCGGGCCUUGCGCUAAUAGAUGAGCCUAAGUCGGCUUAGCUAGUUGGUGGGGUAAAGGCCUACCAAGGCGACGAUCUGUAGCGGGUCUGAGAGGAUGAUCCGCCACAAUGGGACUGGGACACGGCCCAGACUCCUACGGGAGGCAGCAGUGGGGAAUAUUGGACCAUGGGGGGAACCCUGAUCCAGCCAUGCCGCGUGUGUGAAGAAGGCCUUUUGGUUGGAAAGCACUUUAAGCGAGGAGGAGGCUACCGAGAUUAAUACUCUUGGAUAGUGGACGUUACUCGCAGAAUAAGCACCGGCUAACUCUGUG
rnacentral:rRNA from 1 species